CAGUUACCUAAAUGGCAUGAAUAAUAUUUCCAAUAUAUAAAUUAAUAUGGUUAUUUCAUUUGUUUAUGGUGAGCAUGGUUUUCAUGGUGCGCAGUAUAUUUUUGUGUUGUAUUGGGGUGGAAUCUUCUAUUCUACUUCCUGGGGGACAUAAUUCAGGGACGUACAGGAAAGGGAUAUCUUGAAAAACAGCGGUAAUCCAGUUUUCGCCUACCAGGACCAAAGAAGACUUAAGCUUUAUGUGUGAGAUGUAUUUGAUGAAUAUUGCAAGAGAAGAAUGUAACGCGGGUCAUUUAACGUUUGAAUGGACCCCGGUUGUGGAAUAUUGUUCUUGAAGAAAUGUUAUGAAGAGUGAUGAACCUUUGUGUGCAACGAACCUAGCUCCUUUUGGUAACAAGCUGCCAGCGAGUUUUCACGGGACGAAGCUGAAUAAAGAACGCCCUGUAGUUUAAAA